GGUUGUUCCUGUUGGGUAGCAACUUCACCAGCUUCUUGUUGUUGUUGUCAUGGUUGUUCCUGUUGGGUAGCAACUUCACCAGCUUGUUGUUGUUGUCAGGUUGUUCCUGUUGGGUAGCAAC